rnacentral:rRNA from 1 species
AGCCUUGUUCCGGAUUUUAUUGGGCGUAAAAGCGAGCCGCAGGGCGGUCUUUUUAAGUCUGGAUGUGAAAACCCUUCGGCUUAAACGGAAAAAGUGCAUCGGAAAACUGGGAGACUUGAGUGCAGAAGAGGACAGUGGAACUUCCAUGUGUAGCGGUGAAAUGCGUAGAUAUAUGGAAGAACACCAGUGGCGAAGGCGGCUGUCUGGUCUGUAACUGACGCUGAGGCUCGAAAGCAUGGGUAGCGAACAGGAUUAGAUACCCUGGUAGUCCAUGCCGUAAACGAUGAGUGCUAAGUGUUGGAGGGUUUCCGCCCUUCAGUGCUGCAGCUAACGCAUUAAGCACUCCGCCUGGGGAGUACGACCGCAAGGUUGAAACUCAAAGGAAUUGACGGGGGCCCGCACAAGCGGUGGAGCAUGUGGUUUAAUUCGAUGCUACGCGAAGAACCUUACCAGGUCUUGACAUCUUCUGCUAACCCAAGAGAUUGGGCGUUCCCUUCGGGGACGGAAUGACAGGUGGUGCAUGGUUGUCGUCAGCUCGUGUCGUGAGAUGUUGGGUUAAGUCCCGCAACGAGCGCAACCCUUAUUGUUAGUUGCCAGCAUUUAGUUGGGCACUCUAGCAAGACUGCCGGUGACAAACCGGAGGAAGGUGGGGACGACGUCAAAUCAUCAUGCCCCUUAUGACCUGGGCUACACACGUGCUACAAUGGACGGUACAACGAGUCGCGAAACCGCGAGGUCAAGCUAAUCUCUUAAAGCCGUUCUCAGUUCGGAUUGCAGGCUGCAACUCGCCUGCAUGAAGUUGGAAUCGCUAGUAAUCGUGGAUCAGCAUGCCACGGUGAAUACGUUCCCGGGCCUUGUACACACCGCCCGUCACACCAUGAGAGUUUGUAACACCCAAAGUCGGUGAGGUAACCUUUUGGAGCCAGCCGCCCUAAGGUGACAGAGUUGCG